rnacentral:misc_RNA from 1 species
UAGCAUUCAGAGUCUGUGCUAGAA